GCUUGACUGUAGCUUGUAAUUGGGUUCGGGCUUUUUUUGCGCAGCCUAGGUGGGAGGCAAUCGAUGAUUUUUUUCCGGAAAAAUUUGAGCCAUUCGUGAGAGACCACUCUGAAAAGGCUAGAAUCCUAAUAAUGAUCCUUGAAUCAGGACAUUUGACAGUUGCAGGUGGGCAGUUUUACUGGGGCGGUAUUCUCCUAAAAAGUAACGGAGGGGUGCAAAGGUUCCCUCAAGCUGGACGGAAAUCAGCUUAAGAGUGUAAAGGCAAAAGGGAGCUUGACUGCAAGACCUACAAGUCGAGCAGGGGCGAAAGCCGGCCUUAGUGAUCCGACGGUACCAGCGUGGAAGGGCCGUCGCUCAACGGAUAAAAGUUA
rnacentral:rRNA from 1 species